rnacentral:sRNA from 1 species
UAAAUAUUGCGUAGGUGUACAAUGUAAA